rnacentral:sRNA from 1 species
AUUUAGCCCUGAUGGAAGUGAAAAUCCUUUAUAUACCUGACAGGUUUUAAAAACCUGUCAGGUAUAUAAAGAUUGUAACGAACAGCAGGAAAAUGG